rnacentral:lncRNA from 1 species
UUUGGCGGGGUUUCUGCUAAGUUGCUUAGAGUGAGUUGCUGAGACUGGCUUUGAAUUUGUGAUCCUCCUGCCUCAGCAUGCUGGGCACUCUGGGAUUGUAGACACACACCAUCAUGCCUGGCCAUCUUUUAGCAUUUUAUAAGCAUUGCACAUUAAGCUUUGUUCCUUUGAAGUUCUUUUGUAAUAAAUCUAGAGGUUUCUAACUUAGAAUAUUCCUAAUUCUGUCAAUUGGAAAAGGUAAUGGGGUAGUUACCCCAUUUGAAAGUAACAGCUUUGUGGAUCUAUUAUUCACAUACAUCCAUCUCCUGGAAGAGGACAACUGAUGGUUUUUAGUGUAGUCCCAUGUUGUGCAACCAUUACCACAAAUUUUUAAAAAUAUUUCAUCAUCCUAUAUCCAUCCAUUCUGCUAUUUUUUUUUAAUGCUUAAGCCUAACUUUCUUGAUAAAGCUUACUUGGUUAUUGUCAAAGAUUUCUUUUAUUCU